GACGUAGGUGGCGAGCGUUGUUCGGAAUCACUGGGCAUAAAGCGCACGUAGGCGGCCAAGUCAAUCGGGUGUGAAAGCCCUCAGCUCAACCGAAGAACUACGCCCGAUACUGCUUGGCUUGAGGUCCGGAGGGGAAAGUGGAAUUCCCGGUGGAGCGGUGAAAUGCGUAGAGAUCGGGAAAAACGCCAACGGCGAAAGCGACUCUCUGGUCGGAAUCUGACGCUGAGGUGCGAAAGCUAGGAAAACAAACAAG
rnacentral:rRNA from 1 species